rnacentral:rRNA from 1 species
AUUGAACGCUGGCGGAAUGCUUUACACAUGCAAGUCGAACGGUAGAGGGGGCAACCCCUCGAGAGUGGCGAACGGGUGAGUAAUAUAUCGGAGCGUGCCCAGUCGCGGGGGAGAACGUAGUGAAAGUUAGGAUAAUACCGCAUUAGAUCUCAGGAUGACAGCGGGGGAUCGCAAGACCUCGCGCCAUUGGAGCGGCCGAUGUCAGAUUAGCUAGUUGGUGGGGUAAAGGCUCACCUAGCCAACGAUCUGUAGCUGGUCGGAGAGGACGACCAGCCACACUGGAACUGAGACACGGUCCAGACUCCUACGGGAGGCAGCAGUGGGGAAUUUUGGACAAUGGGCGCAAGUCUGAUCCAGCCAUUCCGCGUGCAGGAAGAAGGCCUUCGGGUUGUAAACUGCCUUUGUCCGGAACGAAGAGGUCUAUCUUAAUACGGGGGACUCAUGACGGUACCGUAAGAAGAAGCACCGGCUAACUACGUGCCAGCAGCCGCGGUAACAC